rnacentral:rRNA from 1 species
UACGUAGGGGGCAAGCGUUGUCCGGAUUUACUGGGCGUAAAGAGCGUGUAGGCGGCCACGCAGGUCCGUUGUGAAAACUGGAGGCUCAACCUUCAGACGUCGACGGAAAGCGUGUGGCUAGAGUCCGGAAGAGGAGAGUGGAAUUCCUGGUGUAGCGGUGAAAUGCGCAGAUAUCAGGAAGAACACCAAUGGCGAAGGCAGCUCUCUGGGACGGUACUGACGCUGAGACGCGAAAGCGUGGGGAGCGAACAGG